rnacentral:ncRNA from 1 species
UUAUUUUCGUAACGGAGCGGUGAAAAGGGAAUCAGGUGUGAAUCCUGAACAGACCCGCUGCUGUAAGCUUUUUAAAGUCUUUGGACAUUACUCACGCCACUGUUUUACAUGAACGGGAAGGACGUCCGGAGAUAAAGCAAGUCAGAAGACCUGCCAAGAUC